rnacentral:rRNA from 1 species
AACGUAGGACGCAAGCGUUAUCCGGAGUUACUGGGCGUAAAGCGCGGGCAGGCGGCUCGAAACGUCUGAUGUGAAAUCUCCUCGCUCAACGGGGAGAGGCCAUUGGAAACGGUCGAGCUGGAGGGCAGUAGAGGUAGGCGGAAUUCCGGGUGGAGUGGUGAAAUGCGUAGAGAUCCGGAGGAACACCAGAGGCGAAGGCGGCCUACUGGGCUGCACCUGACGCUGAGACGCGAAAGCCAGGGGAGCGAACGGG